AUUAGAUCUCCCUGGACUUCGGUCCCUAAAGGCUCCUCCAAGACCAGGAGGUUGAUAGGCCGGAAGUGUAAGCGUAGCAAUACGUUCAGCUGACCGGUACUAAUUGGCCGUGAGGCUUGACCGU
rnacentral:rRNA from 1 species